GGCCCUGUAGCUCAAUGGAAGAGCAGUUGACUCUUAAUCAAUUGGUUGAAGGUUCGAGUCCUUCCAGGGUCAUCA
rnacentral:tRNA from 1 species